ACGGUGAGUAACACGUAUCCAACCUGCCGUCUACUCUUGGACAGCCUUCUGAAAGGAAGAUAAUACAAGAUGGCAUCAUGAGUCCACAUGUUCACAUGAUUAAAGGUAUUCCGGUAGACGAUGGGGAUGCGUUCCAUUAGAUAGUAGGCGGGGUAACGGCCCACCUAGUCUUCGAUGGAUAGGGGUUCUGAGAGGAAGGUCCCCCACAUUGGAACUGAGACACGGUCCAA
rnacentral:rRNA from 1 species